rnacentral:rRNA from 1 species
AGAGUUUGAUCAUGGCUCAGAUUGAACGCUGGCGGCAGGCUUAACACAUGCAAGUCGAGCGGAAACGGCAUAGGCAAUCCCUUCGGGGUGCGCUUAUGGACGUCGAGCGGCGGACGGGUGAGUAAUGCCUGGGAAUCUGCCUGGUAGUGGGGGAUAACUUGCCGAAAGGUAAGCUAAUACCGCGUACGCCCUACGGGGGAAAGCAGGGGAUCUUCGGACCUUGCGCUAUCAGAUGAGCCCAGGCCGGAUUAGCUAGUUGGUAGGGUAAAGGCCUACCAAGGCGACGAUCCGUAGCUGGUCUGAGAGGAUGAUCAGCCACACCGGGACUGAGACACGGCCCGGACUCCUACGGGAGGCAGCAGUGGGGAAUAUUGGACAAUGGGGGGAACCCUGAUCCAGCCAUGCCGCGUGUGUGAAGAAGGUCUUCGGAUUGUAAAGCACCUUAAGUUGGGAGGAAGAGCUCCGGGCUAAUACCCUGCGAGUUUUGACGUUACCAACAGAAUAAGCACCGGCUAACUUCGUGCCAGCAGCCGCGGUAAUACGAAGGGUGCGAGCGUUAAUCGGAAUUACUGGGCGUAAAGCGCGCGUAGGUGGUUUGUUAAGUUGGAAGUGAAAGCCCCGGGCUUAACCUGGGAAUUGCUUUCAAAACUGACGGGCUAGAGUACGGUAGAGGGUAGUGGAAUUUCCUGU